rnacentral:lncRNA from 1 species
AUAUUGAAGCAAAACAUUUGCGUUUGUUUUUAAAGCAGAAUCAUCCUGAAUUUAUUAUCUGGUCCAGAGAUUGCCUUCUUGUUUGCUUUUUAAAAUUCGGCUAAGGCCUCUUUUCUGGCUUGAGAAACGGCUUGGGUUUUAGGUUAAAGGCAGUUUGGUUUUCGGGGAGGGUGGGGUCAGCCUAGCUCAGGGCGGCCCAGUGGGAUUCUGUUUCCUGCAACAUAUCCACGUCUUGAAAAUAUCUGGUAAAUACCGAAAGCAAAUUUCAACGAGCUGGUAAUUCCUGCGGAAACAGAAUUUCAGACUGUUUACUGAGAAGACACCCAGAAUGGUGCAGGGCACACAAUACAGCAGUAGAGCAUCUUCAAUUUGUUGGAAUGCCAAGAAACUACCCAGAUACACAGUUUCCCUCAUCCCCUCACCCACAUGGAACAAUGCUCCCACCGCAUCUUCCUGGGUGUGCCCUGGGGCCGCGUCUUCCUGAUCUUGCUGUUCUGGGCCUGGCACCGCUCUCCCUAGCUCUCCAAUGGAUGGACUGGGUGAACACUUGCCUCGAAGCUCCCUCAGCCCCCUGCUUCCCUGACAGGGCCUCGCAGACUCUCCUCCUCCCUGCCUGCCUGACACUCGCCCCAGGGAUGUGCCUCCUCUCUUUGUUCUCAUCUCUUACCCUGGAGUUUAAACCCACACAUCCACAGAGACUCUCAAAUCUCUGUCCAUAGCCCUGGUCUUUUUCUGAUUUGCUACGAUUUGGUGGGAUUUCCAGAGACUGAUAUUCCCAGGGCUCGUAAUCAAA